rnacentral:lncRNA from 1 species
GCGCUGGCCGGCCUCGGGGCCGGGUCUCUGGCGAUUCAGGCCUUUUGCUAAGAGUCGUGACGUGCACGUGACCCCAUUGACCAGCCUUUCCUGCAUGAAUUCUUGACAACUUUCAAGAUCCAGAUGGGAAGAGGGCAGUGCUAUAGGAGGGGAGACCACUGGUGACAUGCCAGGCGGAUCCAAAACCAAGCAGAAGCGCUCAGAAGCAUCCUUGUCAGAACACUGGGAGAGAGACGUUGACAGCCACCAACCGAAUGCUGAACAAAGGCGGAGGAAACUGGAAAAUGAAUGCUAUGGUGAAUGCCACCGAGUCCAUGGGGACAGUAAUGAGAAAAUGAAGAUGGAUGCUUCUUGGAGCUCAGCUAACGGUGGAGGAAGAACUUUGGACAGACUUCUACGCUUCCCACCCUCUGACACCUGUAGAAAAUCGUCAUUCUAGUCCAGAGUUAUCGGUUUCCCCCUGGACUCCUGCAAACUCUACCUGGAAGAAGAAUCUGUUCUCCAUCUCUGAGGCAGUGGUUCUCACACAUGCUCAUCACAAGAGUCCCUCAAAGGGGCAGAGUCCCAGCUGGAAUCAGGAAAUGUGAUCACAGAAGCCAGGUCAGAGUGAUGUGCCUGUUGGCUUCAAAGACGGAGGAAAGGGGCCAUGAGCCAAAGGAUGUGAGCAGCCUCUAGAAGCUGGACAAGGCAAAGAUUCUCUGCCAGAGACUCUGAAAGGAACAGAGCUCCGCCGACAUCUGCGUUAGCCCAGUGAGACCCUUUUUGGACAUCUGGACUAGAGAAUGGUAAGAUAGUAAAUUUUUUGUUGUUUUAAGCUACUAAGUUGGGGGCGAUUUGUUAUGAUGUCAAAAAGAAGGUAAUAUGCAGGAUGUCUGAGCAGAGCAAAGGUAGGACAAUGGUUUGUGGAGGAGAAAGUGCCAACAGAUAGCUGAAAGAGGGCAAAAGGGCCAGGUUCUGGCAGAGAGUGAUGCGGCUGGUAGGAUGCCUUGCUCUUUGCUGCGUUUGUUUGUUCAUUUGUUUCUAUUCCAGGUGUGGUAUAUGGAAGUUCCCAGGCUAGGGGUCACAUUGGAGCUGCAGCUGUGACCUCUGCCACAGCUUGAGGCAAAGCCUGAUCCUUAACCCACUGAGUGAGGCCAGGGAUGGAAGCCACAUCCUCACAGACACUGUGUUGGCUUCUUAACCUGCUGAGCCGCGGCGGGAACACUGAGUCUUUUAAGUCUUGAUGAUGUUGAUCUCAGGCAUGAAAUGGUGAAAAGAUACGGAAUAUAAAUUUGUCCACUGGAUAUGAGUGAACUGGAGAAACAAGAAAGCAAACCAGUUAAUCAAGAACUUUCUGUGUUUUUGUACAGAGACGAGAGGAAUCAAAAUUUCAUAAGAGCAAUAAACCUAGAAAGGAAGGGAGAAACAGUCUUGGCAAGAAAUUAUUUUCUUGUCUCUGAGAUAAAUUUUAUAAGAAUCUAAUAAAGGAUUUUAUAAGGAUAUUUAUUUAUAUUUUUGGAAGACUUGCAGACUUUUUUAUUUUGCAUGGUUCAUUUCACAUUCUCCAAAUGGAUCCUCCAUUUGAUAUUUCUCUGAACAAGAAUAUCAUAAAAGUCCAGCACUAGUAGGUGAUCUUAUGCGAAUAAGUAUGGGUUCACUGUUAAAGGAGAGGAACUGUUCUAUUUCUUAUCUUCGUUCUGCUUUUCUCAAGAGAAUGUUCUCUUGCCUCCUUGUGGUCUCUUAAAAUCAUUAGUGUGUGUGUGUGUGUGUGUGUGUGUGUGUGUGAGAGAGAGAGAGAGAGAGAGAUUGACCACAAACACUGUGAAUUCUAGAGGAAAAGGGACAGUAGUCUGAUAGCACAAAGUGAGAGGUAUUUAUAAAAUGAUUUUUGCCCCCAAAAUAUAUAGUGAUUGAAGUAUAUGUACAUGGUAUUAUAUAAUCUUAAAACGAUAAUUAAGAGAUGGCCCCUCUAAAGACCCACAUACUAGGAUUUGUAGGUUUUCUAGAUUUCCAGCUGUGGCACAGUGGGUUAAGGGCCUAGCGUUGCCAUAGCUGUGGGGUAGGUCACAACUGCGGCUCAGAUUCAAUCCCUGGCCAGGGAACUUCCAUAUGCCACAGGUGCAGCCAAAAAAUAAAUAAAUAAAAAAUGAAAAUUUCAGGUUUUCCUCAGCCUCAUGUUCCGUGGUCCGUGUUUCCUCCUCCAUCCCACCCCACAUCCCGCUGGAAGCUCACUAACUGCUGUGUGUUUUAGUCAAAUGAGAUCUCUAAAGAAAACGUCACUCCUCCUCCCGUGUGUUUUUCCUUUAUUCUCACACUACUCCCACACUCACUAUACUUCUGGCACCAGAUAUGUGUGUCUGUUCCCCACCCCCGCCUCCAAGCAGUCGUGCAACACCAGCUGGACAUCCUGUCAUUUAACUCAGUUCUGACCCUGUCUCCCUGGAGAUAACAUCACAUCCCACAGGUUGAAGGCCUAGUCCCAGAAUACUGCCCCUCUCCCUUCAGAUGCCAACCUCAAGGUCAUGUCGUCGCCUGUGUGUCAACCUCGUGUGCUAUCUAAAUGGAUGGUUCCUAUGACUCCACCUCAAGUGCGAUUAAUUUGCUAGAUCAGCUCCGAGUACGUAGGAAAACUCUUUACCAGUUUAUUAGAAGAGGAUAUGAUAAAGGAUACAGAUGCUCCAAGAUGCAUCAGAUGAACAGAACAAGAAAGUGGGCAGGGCAGGGAGUUUCAGGCCUCCUCCAUGUGCCCCACCUCCCAGCACCUCCACGUCUCACCAAAAUGGAGCUCUCUAUACUUGUGAGAUUUUUAUGGAGCUUCCCCCAUGCAGGCAUGAUCAGUCAUUAAUUCCGUUUUUAGCUCCUCUCCUCUCUCUGGAGAGUGGGAGGUAAGGCUGAAAGCUCCAAGCUUCUAAUCACAGCUUGACCUUUCUCAUGACCUACCCCCAUCUAGGAGCCCACCAAGGAUCACCUCAUUAAACUAAGACACUCCCAUCACCCAGUAAAUUUCAAAGGAUUUAGGAACUCCGUGUCAGACACUGAGGUCAAAAGCCAAAUAUUAGGAGUUCCCAUUGUGGCUCAGUGGAUUAAGAACCUGAUUAGUAUCCAUGAGGAUGCAGGUUCGAUCCCUGACCUCGCUCAGUGGGUUAAGGACCUGGCGUUGCCCUGAGCUGUGGUGUAGGUCGCAGACACAUCCCAGAUUCCAUGUUGCAGCUUCCAUUCCACCCCUAUCCCGGGAACUUCCAUGUGUCCCAGGUGUAGCCAUAAAAAGAAAAAGAAAAAAAA